AUGAAAAACUUCGGUUUGCCCCGAUCAAAGACGAUCGGGGCGAACUCUAGUCUUAAUUUUAAUUCGCCGCCCAUUUUGAAAUGUGUCGCAACGCUGCUUGAGUUUUGUGAACCGGCAUCAGUCGAUGGCCAUUAAGAAGGAUCAUAAAUAGUUUAUCUGCUUGCUAUCUUCGACGGUAACUUGUGUUCUUAAAAGUCCUACGACAGGCACAUUGCGACAAUGGAAACCUUCUUGCUUUGUUAAAAAAAGAAUUCCGGAGAUAAACAUUGUGGUUCCAGCGGUUUCCUUAGUCCAUGGCAGAAACUAAUAGGACGGGAAAUUUCAUCUUCAUCACUAACAAAAGAAAAGGCAUAUUUUUAAUUGGCUUAAUUGAUCUACUUUUCUGUCCGGGUUCACAAGUGUCAUGAAGCUGGCCACACCUCGAAAGGCUGCCCGAAUCUAUUCAGUGAAUUGACAUAAAGUUGGAAAGCAGCAUUAGCAAUACAUUCUGCUAUGAAAAGGAACUGUUUAAGGGCAUCGUCUUUGGAGAAUGCUUUAACAAUUUUGAUUGAUUCAUCCUUCAGGUUACAGGUAAAGAUGUACCUCAAUACAAAACACCCUUCGAAGAAGCUGGCCUGCGUUAAAUACUACUUAAAAACAUUAAAUAUUCUGGCUACAUAAAACCAACACAUGUUCAGAAAGCUUCUGUUGCAGUUAUCCUUGCCAAAAGAGAUUUAAUUGCUUGUCUGUCAUGGGCACCGGCAAAACGAUAAUCUAAUUACUAACGCUAUGUAAUUUUGAGUGGGCACGCCAGUGAUUGUGACUAUUAAAAGGCGGCGUACUUGGAACCGGUUUUGAACAUAUUGCUAGAACAAGGUGUUGCUGGUGCGUCCCAUGCCUUGGUUCAAAAGCCAGAAGUUGUAAUUAUCGCACUCACUCGACAAUUGGCCAUUGAAAUUCACUGCCAGGUGUUAUUUGACUUCACGGGGGUCAGGUUUUAAAUUUUGGACGAAGCUGAUCGAAUGCUGGAUAUGGGUAUCGGCCCCAGUGUUGACAAAAUUGUCAACCAGCCAACGAAAGGAAUCCGUCGUGUUUGUAUGUUUUCGGCUACUUUCCCAGAUGAAGUACAAGCGCUUGCUGCGACUUACAUGGAAGACUACAUAUUCGUCACAACAUGCAUUGUCGGUGGCACCAAUCCGGAUGUUGAACAGCUGUUUUUCCAGUGCUCGGAAAGAGAUAAGAGCUAAGCUGAUCGAAGUUUUACAAGAUCUCGGUGAUGCCAAGACUAUCGUUUUUGUCGACAGCAAAAAGACGGGGGUUUUCGUCGCUGCAUUCUUGUGCAAUAACAAU